GGGUCAGUAGGUUGGUCGUGCCACCGGUACGUACUGGUCUCACUGAUUCCUCCUUCCUGAAGAACCGUAAUGCCAUUAAUUUGGUGUUGCGGGGAAACAGGACUGUUACUUUGAAAAAAUUAGAGUGUUUAAAGCAAGCUAACGCUUGAAUACAUUAGCAUGGAAUAAUGAAAUAGGGCGAUCGAUCCUAUUUUGUUGGUUUCUGGGAUUGACGUA
rnacentral:rRNA from 1 species